UACAGAGGGGGCAAGCGUUAUUCGGAAUUAUUGGGCGUAAAGGGCGCGUAGGCGGCCUGGCAAGUGGAUGGUGAAAUCCCUCGGCUUAACCGAGGAACUGCCAUCCAGACUGCUUGGCUUGAGACCGGGAGAGGUGAGUGGAAUUCCCAGUGUAGCGGUGGAAUGCGCAGAUAUCAGGAGGAACACCGGUGGCGAAGGCGGGUCUCUGGGCCGAUACUGACACUGAGAAGCGAAAGCGUGGGGAGCGAACAGG
rnacentral:rRNA from 1 species